GAGAGAGAGAGAGAGAGAGAGAGAUAGAGAGAGAGAGAGAGAGAGAUAGAGAUAUCAGAGAGGAAAGAUCAUGUGAGAAAGGAAUUUAGGUAAAAAAAAGGCUCAACAAAGGCAUCUGGACAAAUUGAAGAUACUGCACCUAAUGCUCCAUUGUCUCAAAUAAAUUCUCCUACACUUGAUCAAUUCGACAAUAACAUUAACCAUGCAAUUGAGGACAAGUGGGCGGAUAUUAUUGUUGAAUCUUUCCCAUUAUCUGAACAUAUCAAAACUCCACCUCCUAAAUAAAAGUGUAAGGCUAAAGGAAAGGGGGGUAAAGCAGAAAAUCUUAUUCCUAGAAGAAGUCCUAGGCUCAUUGCACCUUCAACUUCUUUCUCCAAUGCACCCAUUCUCUCACAAACAUAAUCGCUUAGUUGUACAACUUUUACUCUAAAGAAAUCUGCUAUGACUAAGCAAAAAAUACUCAGAACAACUGCUGUUAUAAGAGGACUUCCAAUUCCUGGACCAAGAGUCAAUUUGAGGGAUGAUGAUGAUGAAUUACAUGGUCAGGGCAGCGAUGAUAUUGUUGUUGUUAGUUCAUUUACUUUAUUAAUCCAUCUAAUGAUAAUACUAGUGUUGGUGGGGAAAACUGAAUGAGAAAAAAAAGAAGAAAAAGUCCGAUGAGGAUGCACUUGAUAGUGAUGUUGAUGAUAAUGUUCAUGAUGUUGAGGAUGAGGUUGAUGAGGAGACAACCACCAUUCAUGCAUGAUAACUAUGACCUUUAUGUUGACCAAAUCUAGGAAGAUGAUGUAGAUGCCGAUUAAGACAAGUAUUGGUCCAAGUUGUACAGUAACGGACAAAUGUAUGUGGACUCAGGUUGGGGUAGUAUUAAUCUUGCAUCAUGGAUGUUAUUUCAUGACAAAGAGCAUUUCAAGUCAGUACUUAGAGACUAUUGCAUACAAUGUGGAUUUACUCUUGUUGUGCAUAAGUCUAGCCCUUCAAGGUUCAUUGCAGUUUGCAAGGAUUUCAAACUUAGGUGGAGAAUACAUUCUAGUUUAGUUCCUGAUGGAAGAACUUGGGCAAUCAAGAACAUUCAGAACAUGGAACACACUUGUUCAAGGUUUGAUGAAAGGAAUCCACUUGUUCAUGUCAAGUGGGCAGCUAGCAGAUAAGAUGAUGGAUGACAUUAGGAAAAAUGAAAAUAUCUCUGGAAUGACACUAAAUGAACUACGUUGGCAAAGGUAUGGAGUGACAAUGGCAACAUCCACACUGUACAAGAUGAGAAGUGUUACUUUAGCAGAGAUUAUUGGUGGUCAUGAUGAAUCAUAUGGGUUCCUCCCUAAGUAUUGUGAAAUGAUAAAGGAAAUGAAGGAUCUACUGCAAAUUGUUCUUGGACACCCCUAAACCACCUAGAGAGGCCACUAUUUUCAUUUCUUUCAAAGGGGCUUUAGAUGGAGUGUUGAAUGAUUGUAGGAGUAUUAUAGGAGUUGAUGGGGACCACUUGAAGGGUAACUUUGGUGGAGUUAUGCUGUCAACUGUUGCACUUGAUGCUAAUAAUGAGUCGUAUCCAUUUGCUUGGGGUAUUGUAUCAAGUGAAGACACAACUUCUUAGAAAUUCUUUGUAUGGCAUUUAAAGAGGGUGCUUCAGUCUGGAGAUAAAGGUGACAACUGGUGUAUUAUUUCGGAUAGACAAAAGGCAUGUUCCUAAACUUGAAGUGUGUUGUUUUGUUUAUAAUUUAUCUUACAUAUGAUACGAAAUUCUUUUAUGUGAAUGUGGUGCACGAUAUUGAUGCUGCCUUAGCUGAAUGUGGCCAAAGGUUGACAGAAGAUGGUGUUGUAAGCACUUAGCCAAGAAUCGGAAGACUGCAUUCCCAGUUCCAUUGAUGUACUCUCUUUUCUGGCUAGCGUUUCAUGCUACAUCCAACUUCACAUUUGAGAAAGCCAUGGAAAGAAUUCAAAAGACAAACCAUUUGGCUUUGAUUUGGUUGUCAAAAUUAGGUGAUCGAUCAAGAUGAACCAAACAUGCAUUUGAUCCACUUAUAUGCACUUAUGAAAACAAGACUAAUUUUGUUGAGAGUUUCAAUGCAACCCUAUGUGUAGACAGAUGCAGGUCGAUUCUCACCUUACUAGAGGAUUAAGAAGAAUGUGUAUGGUGAGGAUGGCUGCUAGACGCUAAGCUUGUCAACAAUGGAAUGAGAAUGAACCAUGCCCUAACAUAGUGAAAAUACUUCAAAUUCUAAGAUAAAAUUCAAGGACAUACAAAGCAUAUUUAAGUGCACUAGGAUAAUAUGAAAUCAAAGAAGGUAGAAGCACUCUCCUUGUCUCUUUAAACAACAAAACUUGUCUAUGUGGGGUAUGGUAGGUUAGUGGCUUGCCCUGUAGGCAUGGUAUGAGAGCCAUCGUUGUCGCAGAUGAGGACCCUUACAAGUACACAAUCACUUGGUACUUUGUGGCUAUUUACAAAAGGGCACACAAUUAUACCAUCAAGUCUAUCCCAGACCAAGACCAUUGUAAAGAAAUAAGACAUGCCUCAAGUCAAUCCUCCAACCAUGAAAAGGGGAAUUGAAAGACCUUCUAGAAACCAUAGGAGAGAAGAGGGAGAAAAGGAGAAGGGAAAGAGGCCAAAGACUAUCCAAUGCUUUACUUGCAAGCAUUUUGGUCACAAUGCAUUAACCUGCAAGGGAGGACCAACUGCAAAAGAAAAAAAAAUAGGUUAGCAUGUUGAAAUUCAUCUAAGACCACCAAAACCAACCAAGAAGCAGAAGUUAACCUCUCAACCCAACCCAAAAAUGUCAACCAGUCAAGUUAAUAGUGGAAAGAAGAAGAAUGAAAUUAUGUCAACAACUCAGUCUAGUGGAGGAAAAAGAAAGAGGGCAUUUGAUAGUGUAUCACAACCCACCCUUCAUAUCUCUAAUGUUCCUAGUUCCUCAGGUGCAAAGAAGAAAGAAGAAGAAGACAGGUUCUUCACAAUAGUUAGCCUAAUCCUGGCUAGGUUGGGCCACUUGAAGUAGGUGUAGGUGACUUAUUUGAGUUUGUAAUUUUUUGGAUGUUGAAUAAUGCAUCAUGGUGAUGAUUGCUUUUGGUUGAUUACACUUUAAGUUUAACUAGGUAUUUAUGGUAAUUUAGUUUUAUUAUGGUCAGCAUAUGUUAAUUGACAGUAAUUUAGUUCGUUGUACUAUGUUCAAUUCGACAAUUCUUAUUCUCACUUUUAGACAACUUUUUGAAGUACAAUAAUACUACUACUAUUCUCAA